CGAUUGAGUUUGAUCAUGGCUCAGGACGAACGCUGGCGGCGUGCUUAACACAUGCAAGUCGAGCGGUAAGGCCCUUCGGGGUACACGAGCGGCGAACGGGUGAGUAACACGUGGGUGACCUGCCCUCCACUCUGGGAUAAGCCUGGGAAACUGGGUCUAAUACCGGAUAUGACCACAUGUCGCAUGGUGUGUGGUGGAAAGCUUUACGUGGUGGGGGAUGGACCCGCGGCCUAUCAGCUUGUUGGUGGGGUAAUGGCCUACCAAGGCGACGACGGGUAGCCGGCCUGAGAGGGCGACCGGCCACACUGGGACUGAGACACGGCCCAGACUCCUACGGGAGGCAGCAGUGGGGAAUAUUGCACAAUGGGCGAAAGCCUGAUGCAGCGACGCCGCGUGAGGGAUGACGGCCUUCGGGUUGUAAACCUCUUUCAGCAGGGACGAAGCGAGAGUGACGGUACCUGCAGAAGAAGCACCGGCCAACUACGUGCCAGCAGCCGCGGUAAUACGUAGGGUGCGAGCGUUGUCCGGAAUUACUGGGCGUAAAGAGCUCGUAGGCGGUUUGUCACGUCGGCUGU
rnacentral:rRNA from 1 species